rnacentral:rRNA from 1 species
UGGCCGUAAACGAUGUGGACUUGGUGUUGGAAUGGCUCCGAGCUGCUCCAGUGCCGAAGGGAAGCUGUUAAGUCCACCGCCUGGGAAGUACGGUCGCAAGACUGAAACUUAAAGGAAUUGGCGGGGAGCACCACAACGCGUGGAGCCUGCGGUUUAAUUUGGAUUCAACGCCGGACAUCUCACCAGGGGCGGACAGCAGAAUGAUGGCCAGGUUGAUGACCUUGCUUGACAAGCUGAGAGGAGGUGCAUGGCGUGU